GAAGAGGAUAUGGUCACCGCCCUCACAUAAAAUCUGGGUCCCCCCAAAUUGAGAGGUCUUUAUAUAUAAAACGAUCUGAAAAGGUCAUGGGAAAACCUUUAUCAGGUCUUAUAGUUUCUUGUUUGUUCCAGAUGACGCUCAUCAUGAAUCAUAUUGUUUCUAAACUGUUCUACCAUCAUUAACAGAGAUGUGUAUUGUUGGCAAUAUUUGACUUGUCUGUGUCAUCGGUGAUAGAUUUGUCAUCUAGGCAUGGGUUGAUUCGAUUUUCGGCGUUGGGACUACGUGUAUUUCAUUUUACGUGGCAACAUUUGGUCUUGGCAUGGGUCGAUCUGACGCUGGGUUGAGGAUGAUAUAUAAAAAUUAUAGCUGGAUCGAUGUGGCUUGGGGCCGAAGUGGCUGUCUCCCCGGAUUAUCUAUUUCUGAAUUUGCUUCAUUGCAAAUAGAAAACAAAAAACAAACUGCAUGACUUCAUUUAUUCUCUUAAGAAGUCGAUUUUCUUCCCACCAGAAAAUCUACACUAUUCCUGAUGUCGGAUUCCAAGUAGACAAUGCGAUGGUUGUGAUGAGGUUUAGAUGGCUGUAAAAAGAUUUUUCACUAAGAUGUUUAAGUCUCUAUAAGUUUGAACUUAUCGUGUAAAAUAGCAUAAUGUUGCUUAAAAUCCUAACUUUAAUUUAAAAAAAAAAAAAAAAAAACUAUGAACCUGUCGCUUUAAGAACACCAUCUCAAAUUCCACUUCUCUUCAAAACUUUUUUUUUUUUUUGAGUGACGUUUACAGAUACAGUCACAUAUGCAAACAGAAAUAAAUGUCCUUUUAAUCCUGGUCAUAACCAACCGUCGGGGGAUGCCUUGUGCUUCAUCGACCACCACCGUACCAUGUUCUCGACUUUUUGGCUAAGAUAAUGAUAAAUUGUUAUGUGACAUCCCCCCCCCCUCUUCCCUAAAGUGUAAAAUUACAGUUUGAUGAAAACCAGUUAUCCAAAUGAGUACUUGCAUCCGGAAGUGCAAAGUAAUAAUCAUUAUCGAGGUUUUCUCAUCGCUUUUGAAGUUUGAAGUUGGGGUGGGUGGGAACUAAGCAGUCAAUCUAUCCAAUUCUCCCAAUGAUAUUCUCUUCUCUUGCUAUCUUGUGUGACAACAACGCUGAUGUCUCUGUAGCCACCACGCAUGCCACGCCUUACAGCCGCGAACCUGGCCUCAAAGACAGCCGAUGACUGGUUUUCACGGUUCUACUGAGGGCGCGCUCACGCUGCGAGUCGCCAUUCCUUCGCUUCCUCGGGUCUGCUACGGGAUCCUGCUGCAACCCGCGUCACAAGCCGGAAGAGGCAGGGCGGCGUGGAGAGACAGAGAGGGUGGGGGACAACAUCUCUGGCCCACAAUCGUCAGACUGCAGUCUCACGCUCGUCCGUCAUCAGUGCUUCAUCAGCUCAAACGACGAUCAGAAUGGCAGAGAAAACAGAGGGCACUGCAGGUAAAGACAUCGUGCAGACGAUGCCAGCGAGUUUACAAUAGCUGCGGACCUCACCCUCUACGCCAACCCACUGCGGUGCCUCAACGCCUCCAAGCCGCCCAAACCGGCAGAAAAGGUGGCAGCGGAGUCCGGAGAAAUCAUCGCCGCCGAUCUCGUCAAGUAUGGGAGCCCGUUGGACGACAAACCAGUAAACAAAUAGCGGUUUCUCCGGGGGACACUGAACAGGAGAAGGAAAUUUUACUGUGAAUAUUGCAACUCAUGCCUUUGUGUGACGACAGCGCACUGCACAUUCACUCAUCCCACUAGAGCGCACGUGCACGCAUGCUUCGUGUGAAGACAACUCCGUCCUGUUUUGGAGUAGUGUUUGCAUCUCGACAGUGUCAUACUUGUUCACUCGAAUAUGUUCAUGCUGGUAUAAAACGUUCACUACUGCCUACAUUUCUUGUCUGUCCAAUCAUGGAUGUGUAUAGGUGGUCUGCCACGACCAACGCUUAGCCUCAGAAGUUCUCCACUGUUAGUCUCGGCGAGCCUAAACAAAGAAUGUGACUAAACCGGAAGCUUUGUAGUCUCAUGCCUCGUUUUAGUAGUUAAUAUGAAAUGUGAAGAAACCGGAAGCUUUGUAGUAGCAUGCUUCGUUUUAGUAGUUUACUGGAAAAAGAUCGUCUGAAAGUCCAGUAAUAAAAGUUCGUGGUCGA